GUGUAACAACUCACCUGCCGAAUGAACUAGCCCUGAAAAUGGAUGGCGCUGAAGCGGGCCACUUAUACUCCACCACCAGCGCAAGUGUUUAGCUGUCGUGAGUAGGAGGGCGUGAAGGUCGUUGUGCAGCUGAGUGUCGUGAGCAGAGUGAAACGUCCNUUAGUGCAGAUCUUGGUGGUAGUAGC
rnacentral:rRNA from 1 species